rnacentral:rRNA from 1 species
CAGCAGUCGCGAAAACUUCACACUGGGGGAAACCCCGAUGAGGGAAAUCCUAGUGCUAGGACAUUUGUUCUAGCUUUUCUCAAGCGUAGAUAACUUGAGGAAUAAGGGCUGGGUAAGACGGGUGCCAGCCGCCGCGGUAAUACCUGCAGCCCAAGUGGUGGUCGAUUUUAUUGAGUCUAAAACGUUCGUAGCCGGUUUGAUAAAUCUUUGGGUAAAUCGGGGAGCUUAACUUUCCGACUUCCGAAGAGACUGUCAAACUUGGGACCGGGAGAGGCGAGAGGUACUUCUGGGGUAGGGGUAAAAUCCUGUAAUCCUGGAAGGACCACCGGUGGCGAAGGCGUCUCGCUAGAACGGAUCCGACGGUGAGGGACGAAGCCCUGGGUCGCAAACGGGAUUAGAUACCCCGGUAGUCCAGGGUGUAAACGCUGCAGACUUGGUGUUGGGGGCCCUACGUGGGCGUUCAGUGCCGGAGAGAAGUUGUU